rnacentral:rRNA from 1 species
GACGAACGCUGGCGGCGUGCUUAACACAUGCAAGUCGAACGGAAAGGCCCUGCUUUUGUGGGGUGCUCGUGUGGCGAACGGGUGAGUAACACGUGAGUAACCUGCCCUUGACUUUGGGAUAACUUCAGGAAACUGGGGCUAAUACCGGAUAGGAGCUCCUGCUGCAUGGUGUGGGUUGGAAAGUUUCGGCGGUUGGGGAUGUACUCGCGGCUUAUCAGCUUGUUGGUGGGGUAGUGGCUUACCAAGGCUUUGACGGGUAGCCGGCCUUAGAGGGUGACCGGCCACAUUGGGACUGAGAUACGGCCCAGACUCCUACGGGAGGCAGCAGUGGGGAAUAUUGCACAAUGGGCGGAAGCCUGAUGCAGCAACGCCGCGUGCGGGAUGACGGCCUUCGGGUUGUAAACCGCUUUCGCCUGUGACGAAGCGUGAGUGACGGUAAUGGGUAAAGAAGCACCGGCUAACUACGUG